rnacentral:rRNA from 1 species
GAGUAAAGAUUUCGGUCGCUUUGGGAGGAGCUCGCUUACUAUCAGCUUGUUGGUAGGGUAAUGGCCUACCAAGGCUAUGACGGUUAGGGGGUGUGAGAGCAUGACCCCCAGCAUUGGCACUGAAACACUGGCCAAACACCUACGGGUGGCUGCAGUCGAGAAUCUUCCACAAUGGGGGAAACCCUGAUGGAGCGAUGCUGCGUGCGGGAUGAAGGCCUUCGGGUUGUAAACCGCUUUUGUAGGGGACGAAAUUUUUGACGGUACCCUUUCGAAUAAGAGGUUGCUAACUCUGUGCCAGCAGCAGCGGUAAUACAGAGACCUCAAGCGUUAUCCGGAUUUACUGGGCGUAAAGCGUCUGUAGGGGGUUUAUUAAGUUCCAAGUAAAAUUUCAAGGCUCAACUUUGAAUUCGCUUGGAAAACUAAUAAACUGGAGUCUAGCAGAGGUGCAUGGAACUUGUGGUGUAGGAGUGAGAUCCGUUGAUAUCACAAGGAACACCAAAGGCGAAGGCAUUGCACUGGGCUAGCACUGACCCUGAGAGACGAAAGCGUGGGGAGCAAAACGGAUUAGAUACCCGUGUAGUCCACGCCCUAAACGAUGAAUGCUAAAUGUUCGGGGAUUCGACCCCCUGGGUGUUACAGCUAACGCGUUAAGCAUUCCGCCUGGGAAGUACGGCCGCAAGGCUAAAACUCAAAGGAAUAGACGGGGAUCCGCACAAGCGGUGGAGCGUCUGGUUUAAUUCGACAGUAAGCGUGGUACCUCACCAGGGUUUGACAUCCCUUGACAGCCUUGGAAACAAGGUUUCCUUCGGGCAAGGUGACAGGUGCUGCAUGGUCAUCGUCAGUUCGUGCCGUGAGGUGUUCCGUUAAGUCGGGAAACGAACGAAACCCCUAUUGCAUGUUACAAUUUCUCAUGCAAGACUGCCCGGAUAUACUGGGAGGAAGGUGGGGAUGACGUCAGAUCUGCAUGGUCCUUAUACCCUGGGCGACACAGGCGCUACAAUGGCAGAGACAAAGGGUUGCAAAACCGCAAGGUGAAGCUAAUCCCAAAAACUUUGUCUAAGUUCGGAUUGAAGGCUGCAAUUCGCCUUCAUGAAGCUGGAAUCGCUAGUAAUCGUGAAUCAGCCACGUCACGGUGAAUAUGUUCCCGGAUCUUGUACUCACCGCCCGUCACACCAAGAGAGUUGGUAGCUCCCAAAG